rnacentral:rRNA from 1 species
AUUGAACGCUGGCGGCAGGCCUAACACAUGCAAGUCGAGCGAGCGGCGGACGGGUGAGUAAUGUCUGGGAAACUUCCUUAUGGAGGGGGUUAACUACUGGAAACGGUGGGUAAUACCGCAUACCACCAAAUGUGCCCAUAUGGGGUUAGCUAGUAGGUGGGGUAACGGCUCACCUAGGCGAUGAUCCCUAGCUGGUCUGAGAGGAUGACCAGCCACACUGGAACGUAGACAAGGUCCAGACUCCUAAGGGAGGCAGCAGUGGGGAAUAUGGCACAAUGGGCGCAAGCCUGAUGCAGCCAUGCCGCGUGUGUGAAGAAGGCCUUCGGGCUGUAAAGCACUUUCAGCGGGGAGGCGUUACCCGAAGAAGAAGCACCGGCUAACUCCGUGCCAGCAGCCGCGGUAAUAC